ensembl:misc_RNA Metazoa_SRP Metazoan signal recognition particle RNA
GCUGGGCAUGGUGGCUCAUGCCUGUAAUCCCAGCACUUUAGGAGGCUGAGGUGGGCGGAUCACCUGAGGUCAGGAGUUCAAGACCAGCCUGGCCAACAUGGUGAAACCCCGUCUCUA